GGCGGAACCAGCGGGCAGAUUUUGGUAGGUCGUAGUGACGCAUCCGCACCGCAGUCUGGCUUGAGACGGGGUGAAAAGGCGACGAGUAUCACUUUGGCUACUGAUUUAGCCUAUAAGUUACCUUGGUGGCUGUAGGAUUACUGUGCUCCACUAUGUUCAACGUGGAAAGUCUACAACGGGCCGAGCUUGGAGAGAGCCUCCUUACAUGGAUCCAGACAUUUAACAUUGAAACACCAUGCCAGACUGUGGAAGACUUAACGAAUGGGGUUGUGAUGGCUCAGGUGCUCCAAAAGAUAGAUCCGACUUACUUUGAUGAAAACUGGUUAAACAGAAUCAAAACAGAAGUAGGAGAUAAUUGGAGGCUAAAGGUAAGCAACUUGAAGAAAAUUUUAAAAGGAAUAAUGGAUUAUAACCAUGAGAUUCUAGGGCAACAGAUUAAUGACUUCACUCUUCCUGAUGUUAACCUGAUUGGAGAGCACUCUGAUGCUGCAGAGCUUGGGAGAAUGCUUCAGCUUAUUUUGGGAUGUGCUGUGAAUUGUGAACAGAAGCAAGAAUACAUACAGACCAUAAUGAUGAUGGAAGAAUCAGUUCAACAUGUUGUCAUGACAGCCAUUCAGGAGUUGAUGAGUAAAGAGUCUCCAGUCUCUUUUGGAAAUGAUGCUUACAUUGACCUUGAACGUCAGUUGAAGAAAACUACAGAAGAAUUAAAUGAAGCCCUAGCAACGAAAGAAGAAAUUGCCCAGAGAUGUCAUGAGUUAGAUAUGCAGGUUGCAGCACUUCAAGAUGAGAAGAGCAUUUUACUUGCUGAGAACCAGAUUCUGAUGGAACGUUUGAAUCAAUCUGAUUCUAUAGAAGAUCCCAACAGCCCUGCAGGUCGUAGGCACUUGCAGCUGCAGACCCAAUUAGAGCACCUCCAAGAGGAAACAUUCAGGUUAGAAUCUGCCAAAGAUGACUAUCACAUACGUUGUGAAGAACUAGAAAAGGAAAUUGCAGAACUGAGACAACAGACUGAAGAGCUUAGUACAUUAGCAGAGGAGGCUCAGUCUUUGAAGGAUGAAAUAGAUAUACUCAGGCAUUCUUUUGAUAAAGUGGCCAAGUUAGAAAGCCAGGUGGAGUCAUACAAAAAGAAGCUGGAAGACCUGGGUGAUUUGCGGCGGCAAGUGAAACUAUUAGAAGAGAAGAAUACAGUGUACAUGCAAAACACUGUGAGUCUGGAGGAAGAACUAAGGAAAGCCAAUGCAGCACGUAGCCAGCUGGAGACAUACAAGAGACAGGCAGUGGAAUUACAAAACAGAUUAUCUGAAGAAUCCAAGAAAUCUGAUAAACUAGAUUAUGAAUGCAAACAGUUGAAAGAAAAAGUAGACAGCCUCCAAAAAGAAAAAGAUAGAUUAAGAGCAGAAAGAGAUUCUUUAAAAGAAAGUAUUGAAGAGCUCCGAUGUAUACAAGCACAGGAAGGUCAACUCACCACUACAGCACUGAUGCCCCUGGUAAGCCAUGAACCUUCAGACAGUCUAGCAGUGGAAAUUGUUACUCCUGAAAUCAAGGAGAAACUUAUUCACCUUCAGCAUGAGAACAAGAUGUUAAAGCUGAACCAAGAAGAUUGUGACAAUGAAAAGAUCACCUUGUUGCAGAGCUUGCUUGAUGGUACAAAUUUACGGAAGAAUGAAUUGGAGACAGAGAACAGGCUGGUAAAUCAGAGACUGCUAGAAGUACAGUCCCAGGUUGAAGAACUACAGAAGUCUUUGCAGGAGCAAGAUGCAAAAGCUGAAGAUCCAUUUCGAGGAAAUCAGGGCUUCGUCGUUCCUUGGAAAGACAGACACCAUCACUCUGAACAUCCCCUCUUUCCUUCAUUCUUCUCCCAGCUUUUAUUGCUAAGCAUGAUGUCAUAUGGUAUGGAAUAUCCCUUUGAUCAGUUGGGGUCAGCUGUCCCAGCUGUGUCCCCUCCCAAUUUCUUGUGCACUCCCAGCCUACUCACUGACAGGGCAGUGUGAUAAGCAGAAAAGGCCUUGACUCUGUGUAAGCACUGCUCAGCAACAACCAAAACACCCCUGUAUUAUCAACACUGUUUCCAGCGCAAAUCCAAAACAUAGCCCCAUACAAGCUACUAUGAAGAAAAUUAACUCUAUCCCAGCCAAAAACAGUACAGCUACUAAUGUGACUUCAAUGUUAAAAUUACUUUUCAUGACAGCAACUGCAUUUCUUUGAAACUGUGGUUUGAGUAUGAUGUUUGCAUAUGUAUGAAAGUGGAAAAGCCUUCAUAUACUUGAACACAGUAUGGAUAAUUUUUACUGGCUUUCCCAAACUCUCCAGAAAAUAUGACAGGAUUAAACUGUUAAUGAGAACAGAGAAGUAAGAAAAAUGUACAUGUCUGGAAAAAAUGCAUGGAUUUAAGCUUUUCUGUUCAUGAGUUACUGAAUAGUUUCUUCUGUUGGUUGCUGGUUUUGCUUUAUGCUAAUAUGUCAUCUUUGUUUCCUGGCAUGGGUUUCUGCUCAAGGCUAUUGUGAGUAUGGCUUUCUGUUUACUUAAUACUACUUUUACUUUAUAGGCAUUUAUGGUUUUGAUUUUAAAAGAUGCUUGAUGUAUAUAAAGCAAGUUUAUGAUUAAACUAAAAUUUAUUUUGAAGCGCAUCACCACCAUCCCCCCUGACAAGAGCUUAUUCAAAUGUGACUUAGCCAAAAAUCAGAACACCAUAAGGUGUAUUAUAUUUACAUAUUUUUAGGCAAAGAAAAAUAUGAAAACAAAGAAAAGCAGAGCAAUUGAGGAUAAAAUUUCUGCUGUCCUCUGGUCAGUAGCAUUCUACUCCAUCUAAUUUUUGCAGGGACAGAAUUUUACCUCGAGUCUUUAUGUGAAAUUGCUUUGAUGCAUUGGAAAGCUCUUCAAGCAAAUUUUCCACUAUCUAAUUUUAAAUUAAUUUAAUUGAGUCUAAUUUAAAUUAGUCUAAUCUACAAAAGUACUGAAUCACAAAGCAAUGAAAACAACUGAAAUACAAUUUUGUCAUUAAUGGAUCUCUCAUAUAUUGAUCCAAUUCCAAGAAAGUAUUUGUGAAGUUAUAAGGCAUUCUGAUUUUGGGGAAGUCCACAGCUAUCAAGGAAAGAACAACUACAGAAAACUGCUAUACAAUUAUGACCUAAAAAUGGGUGAAAUUAAAUGUCUGUGUUCUGGUUAUAAUUGUUAAAUUAUAUAUUUUAAUAGAACUGAAAUCAUACUAAGCACCAUAACAUAUUAAAGUAACUGACACCUUUGACUUUCUAUUUUAGUCCCUGCUUCUGCAAAAGAAACUUGAAGAGCAUCUUGAGAAGCUCCAUGAAGCUAACAAUGAGCUACAGAAGAAACGAGCUAUUAUUGAGGAUUUGGAACCAAGAUGUAAUAACAAUUCACUCAAAAUUGAAGAAUUACAAGAAGC